AAUCGAAAAAAUCGAGAAUGCUUAGUUUCGGCGAAACUAAGAGAUGAUAAUUUAUUGACCAGUUGAAUUGUCAUUUUAGAUGCUUAGUAAAUACAAUUGAAAAGGAAUCAGUUGGAAACACAAACUAAUAGUAAUCACGUUUGGUUACUGAAUGAUUGCAAAUCCCUUCAUUUGGACAUUUAUACCUGCGAUUCAUGUUCACCGAUAAUCAUCAUUGGCGUGAUAACAUGAUAAAUUUUAAUGAUAAGAUGCAAAACUCACAAUAAAAUAGAAAGAGCAAAACACCAGGAUGAGUGUGGAAAAUGUGUUUGAUACCGUUUCAAGCCAGAUUAUACUGGAUUUCCAGGAGAAUCAGAUCAUCUUUCUAUCAUUUGGGUGAAAGUUAUUUCUGUUGCAUUGCAAUAAAUGAUGAUAAUAAAAACAAUAAUAUUGCGUUUGA